AAUGCCUGUUGUUGAACACCACGGGGGAGCCAGGCUUUUUCCAUUGGUUGCCCAAGACUUGUUCUCCACUCCACGUACUGGUGCGUAGAUGGAUGCUGGUUUCUUCAGGACACUUGGCCUCCAGGUGCUCCGUGUGAGAAUGCGUGGGAGUCCUUGGUGCUCCCUGGGACAGAGCUCAGUUCAGAUGAUCAUGCUGUGUAAAAGACACUGAGAAUUUGGUGGAAGGAGGGGAUCACAAGUCCUGCCUGUUCUCCUGUGCCUCCUGCGAUCACCUGUGUUGUGGACACAGGGUGUCACAUGUCACUGAACACCCCUAAGCCUUAGGAAGCAUCUUAGUUGCCAGCCAGCCAGUUGUCUGUAGGCAUUGAUGAACUUAGACUGAGUUCUAAAUCAGCUGGCAAUAAACUCGUACCAAAAACUUUUUAGAGUGACUGUUUUGUUUGUUAGCAGUGACUUGUGUUACUCCAAAUAUGUACAGUCAGUGGUGUGUGGUGAAAUCCCUUCUACUCAAUCCCUGAAAGAAAAAAAGUAAGUUCAUGUAUUUGUACUCAUCUUGAAUUUUUUUUUUGAAGACGCUCCAUCUCAGGCUUGAAUGGUCUCACAUACCUGGGUUUUCAGUUCACCAUCAUCCCAACAAUGCUUUUUAAAAAAAAUUAUUACCCCUACUAAACAUGCCAUAGCCUGUCUAACCCCACUGUAGCUACAGUAUUACUGCAAAUAAAUGAAUUUCUGGAGCUGAUGGGAUUUCUUCCCUCCUUCUCAAGAAUCUGCCAUAUAAGUGUGCCUGCAUUUUAAUUCCUAUCAGGUGUCACAGUGUACACAAUCAGAUUUUUGUAAGUGAUUUACUGGAAAAUAAUUUUUCUAUAUUGUGUUAAUACAGUAUAAUGGCUGUAUAAUAUGGUGGUUAAAUAUGCAGUGGGAGUAAUGGGUAAAAUGAAAUGCCAUAUUAUGGCAAUAUACAUCUUGUUUAAACUAUCAAGGAAGGAGUAACUUAAGACCUAAUACCAUCUGUUCUUCAGUUGUUUGCUACAGAGGGAUACAAAACACUUAUUCAUGAACUCUGAGGCAAACAGAUAGGAGAGUGCAGGCUCAAAUAACAUUUGUGGGGGUUUUCUUAUUUGGCCAUUUUUUGUGAAUUCAAUCUGAUCUUCGUUCUGGACUUAAAGGAAAAUUAAACUGGCUUUAAGUAGUAUUUGAUCCUAUUAUGAAUCUUGGCAGCACUUCACCAAAGUUAAUUUGAAUUUUAAUGUAAUUUUUGGUUAGGUAAAUAAACUUAAAAUGGCUUUGAUUCCUAGCUUUUUCUAAGAAAAGGAAAACCUGAAAGGAAAUGGGCAUGUUUCUGUUACACACUAGUCCUUUUUUUUGCAAUGUUUUUUUUUUUUGGGGGGGGGGGGGCUGUAUUCUAGUUGGUUACUAAAGCUACCAAUUUGCCUUUCUCAAAUUCUGAAAGUCCUGCUGUAGUCCAAGCUCUCCUGAAAACUACUUAAAAUGCUUUUUGUUUCAUCUUAACCUAGAGACUUUGAAUGCAGAUCUGUAUGGAUGAUGGAUGACUUUUUUUUUUUUCUAGCCAUGUUUAUGCUUUUGGGGAACUAUCUUACCUUUUCCAUUAACGUUUUAGCAAAGUAUGGGCCUUAAUAAACUGUGGUUCUGUAUCAAGCGCAGUAAUGUUGUGUUCCGUGUAUUCCUGUAUUAACAGGGCUUGUCCAAAUGCCAUUGUCAGUGUGUUUUCAAGUGCAUAAACCUGCCUAAAACCCAGUAAGACUGAACAGAUGGAGGAAGGUUUUUUUUGUUAGCUAAAUAAUAAAAAUUUGUUUAUAUUCUAUAAAAUAAGGUUUUAUUGAAAAGAACAAAUGACAGUUGGUCACUUCAUAUAUUGAGAACUGAGUAUUUAUUUUACAAAAGCAGUAUAAAACAGGCAUUGCCUACAUCUGCUUCUGAAAUGGAUGUUCCUUUCUCUCACUGGCGUGUGCUUGAAGGAUUAAAAUUAUGGUGUUUAUUCCAGAUUUUUGUACAAUAAGCAGCUUUUUAACAUUGCUUUUCCUGAUGCCGUCUGGAUUUUUUCAGUUAGAGCAACUUUUUGGGUGACCCAUUGUACUUGCUGGAGCUAAUACAGCUGUGGUGGUUGACUGAGCAGAAUCAAUUCUGUCUGUUAAAACAGAACACUGUAAAAGGGUGGGGGAAACUACAAAAUUUCCAGUGGCUGUAUCUCAUUGCUGCAGGCCUGCGCAGCGCUCUGCUGAAACAUUUGAUAAUAUCUAGAUCUUGUAAAACUGAUUCCAAAUAGGUUUGGUUUUGUUCUAGGCUUUACUGAUUAAUUAAGGAAAAUUGCCAUGGUUAUGUGCAUUUGAACUUGUUUUGUUUCUCUUUCAUAUCGGUGUUUGUUUUGAGAACUGUAGAUAAUAAAGCAAGUGUUGCACUAAUAAAA